CGGGGCGUGGCGCAGUCUGGUUAGCGCGCGUGCUUUGGGAGCACGAGGUCCGGGGUUCGAAUCCCCGCGCCCCGACCA
rnacentral:tRNA from 1 species